rnacentral:rRNA from 1 species
ACGAGUGGCGGACGGGUGAGUAAUGUCUGGGAAACUGCCCGAUGGAGGGGGAUAACUACUGGAAACGGUAGCUAAUACCGCAUAACGUCGCAAGACCAAAGAGGGGGACCUUCGGGCCUCUUGCCGUCGGAUGUGCCCAGACGGGAUUAGCUAGUAGGUGGGGUAAAGGCUCACCUAGGCGACGAUCCCUAGCUGGUCUGAGAGGAUGACCAGCCACACUGGAACUGAGACACGGUCCAG